rnacentral:lncRNA from 1 species
CAGCACCCAGUAUGGUCCCCUGCGUGGCCCUUGCAUCAGCUCCAGCUGCCAUGUUCCUGCCCUGCUUGAGUUCUUGCCUGUGGUUCGUGAACUUUUAUAUGUAACUGCAUUUAAGUCAGAUGAACUGCACAGACACUGUAAUGGAGGCAAAGAACCAAGAAACCUUAGGAACUCUGGAAGACCAUGAGAGGACACGUCUGUCUCCACACCUUCCCAAGUCCAGAAUCUCUGUGGAAAGUGAAGGUAAUAGAAGCAGUCCUUCUGUACUGACAGACAGACAUCCUCAGCAUGAGGAAAAGCUACGAGACCACAGGCUGCCGGGAGAGGAAGAGCGAGAAAAGGAAGAGAGCCUUUCCCAGGCCAGCCCCUCCGAGGAGGUCUGCUGCUAGGCAAAUACGUCAAGGUUUGCUCUCUGGAGAUUUUCAGCGCAUCCUGUCCCAGAUUCUCAUUUGGUUAUUUGUCAACGACUGGUUUUCAUGUUGCCCAUGUGUGCACAAAUGCACAUGAAGGCAUGAAACACGUGAAGGAUUCUCUGCCUACAGUUGUUGGGCCAUCGCGUGUCGUAGACUCCAAGAUAGCAGGUCAUGUCUUCCUCUGAGGUGGAGAGACCUACAUCCUAAACACUUCUCAAGUCUCUUCUCUUUAAAGCUAGCACAGUUUAAGCGCAUCUUCAGUCUUGCCUUAAGCCCUGCAACGCUGUCCGCUCACCCUGCCAGUCGUUCUCGGGAUACACCGGCUCAUCUCAUAGUUUGUAUAUGUUUAUCUUUGUGUAUACACGUGGAAACCCAAGAUUCAGAUUCCCAGUCUUAUUUGGGACUCUUCAUUGAUGACUCUGUCUUAUUCAUCUCUCAGCUGAACAUAGAGUUUGUCUAUACAGAUAGUCUGGCUGGCCAGCUUACAACCAUUGAGUCUCAACCUUCCUAAUGGCACUGCCCUUUAAUACAAUUCCUCAUGUUGUGGGGACCCCCAACCAUAAUAUUGCUUCAUUGCUACUUCAUAACUAUAAUUUUGCUACUGUUUUGAAUCAUAAUGUAACUAUCUGAUACGGUAUCAGAUAUAUCACCCCCUCCAGGGAGUCAUAAUCUACAAGUUGAGGACCAACCACUGUUCUAAGCCUCUUUCUGAGCCUUAGAAUCCAGAUGAGCUGCCAUGAGCACAUGGAGUAUAUGUUGGAAAUUAUAUUGGCUAUAUGGGUCGAAAGGUCACAGAAAAGUAAACCCUGAAUGGGCAAGGUUGUGGGCACUUCACAAGUCCUUGUCAGAGGGGUGAAGAAGUCAGGAGGCACAAAGAAGAGCAGAAGAGCCUGCCUGCUCCUGAUACCCAAUACGGCAGAGGGAUGGCCCAUUUCACAAGGACAGAAAGCCAGGCCACUUCAGGGUGUUAGGUAGCAAUUCCCAUCAUCAGUGGUCCUUAACAUCCCCUGUCACAUUAGCACUGUGUACACUUAACUUUCCAAGGCUGUUCCAGCAUAUAGAGCAGCCUGAGAAACAAGUGUUAUGGUUUUCUAGAUCCCUCACCCUAGACUGGAGGCUAGGACUGGAUUACAGAAUGAAUACUUAAUGUGCACAAAGCCCUGGAAUUGAGCCCUAGCAUUGCCCAAACACAAGGCACGGAGAAGGGAUGGUAUAAAAAUGCCUGGUAAAUUUUUCUUCGAUAUGAAUAAAAUGCUGUGCCUAUCACAUCUCUGUGAUCCCCAAAAGACACAUUUUUGAACACAAGGAAAGGGGAAAGAAUAUGCUAGAAGAUAGAAUCGUAUCAAGAAUUAUUUGUUACAAUGCUGCUGCAGUUAUAAUGCUGCCCUUAGAGCUGCACACUGAAUUCUGCCCAGGGUGUUGGUUCCUUAAUGUACCCCUCAUCCAAGCAGAGGGUACAGUUUGACUCCAGCUUUGAAUAUGCUAGGCCCAGGGAGUGGCACAAUUAGGAGGUGUGGCCUUGCUGGAGUAGGAAAGGUGUCACUUUGGGGGUGGACUUUGAGAUCCUUCUUCUAGCUGCUUGGAAGACAGUCUCUUCCUGUUUCCCUUCAGAUCAAGAUGUAGAACUCUUGGCUCCUCCAGCACCAUGUCUGCCUGCAUGGUGCCAUGCUUCCUGCCAUGAUGAUUAUAGUCUCAAUCUCUGAACCUGUUGUGCAAGCUACUCUAGUUGUGUGCAGUGGUGGCUGUUCUCGGUUUGACUACAUCUGGAACUAAAACCCAAGCAGCUGGGGACACCUGUGCAUGGAUUUCCUUAAUUAAAGCACGUGAAGUGGGAAGAGCCAUCUUUAAUCUGCGUCACACCUGCUGGAGGCAGGCUACAUAAAUAAAGGACAUGGAAGA